rnacentral:rRNA from 1 species
UGGGAACGUGCCCCUUUNAGUUCGGAACAACCCAGGGAAACUUGGGCUAAUACCGGAUACGUCCGUAAGGAGAAAGAUUUAUCGCUGAAGGAUCGGCCCGCGUCUGAUUAGCUAGUUGGUGGGUAAUGGCCCACCAAGGCUACGAUCAGUAGCUGGUCUGAGAGGAUGAUCAGCCACACUGGGACUGAGACACGGCCCAGACCUCCGUACGGGAGGCAG